rnacentral:rRNA from 1 species
GUACAUCCAGAGACUUAGCAGAGAUGCUUUGGUGCCUUCGGGAACUCUGAGACAGGUGCUGCAUGGCUGUCGUCAGCUCGUGUUGUGAAAUGUUGGGUUAAGUCCCGNAACGAGCGCAACCCUUAUCCUUUGUUGCCAGCGGUUCGGCCGGGAACUCAAAGGAGACUGCCGGUGAUAAACCGGAGGAAGGUGGGGAUGACGUCAAGUCAUCAUGGCCCUUACGGCCAGGGCUACACACGUGCUACAAUGGCGCAUACAAAGAGAAGCGACCUCGCGAGAGCAAGCGGACCUCAUAAAGUGCGUCGUAGUCCGGAUUGGAGUCUGCAACUCGACUCCAUGAAGUCGGAAUCGCUAGUAAUCGUAGAUCAGAAUGCUACGGUGAAUACGUUCCCGGGCCUUGUACACACCGCCCGUCACACCAUGGGAGUGGGUUGCAAAAGAAGUAGGUAGCUUAACCUUCGGGAGGGCGCUUACCACUUUGUGAUUCAUGACUGGGGUGAAGUCGUAACAAGGUAAGCGUAGCGAG